UAUUUAUUAGAUAACAAGCCAAUAUUCCUCUGGUCUAUUGUGGUGACUCAUAAUAACUGAUCGAAUCGCAAGGCCUAUGGCCGCGAUAAGACAUUCAAGUUUCUGCCCCAUCAGCUUUCGAUGGUAGUGUAUUGGACUACCAUGGCGUUUACGGGUAACGGAGGAUUAGGGUUCGAUUCCGGAGAGGGAGCCUGAGAAACGGCUACCACAUCUAAGGAAGGCAGCAGGCGCGUAAAUUACCCAAUCCUGACUCUGGGAGGUAGUGACAAGAAAUAACGGACCGAGGCCUUCGGGCUUCGGGAUUGCAAUGAGCCGAAUUUACACCCCUUAGCGAGGAUCGAUUGGAGGGCAAGCCUGGUGCCAGCAGCCGCGGUAAUUCCAGCUCCAAUAGCGUAUAUUAAAGUUGUUGCAGUUAAAAAGCUCGUAGUUGGAUUUCUGGGAGGGUGCCAAUGUCCGCCGACGUGCGUGCGCAGCGGCGCCCUUCCAUCCUUCUGUUAACGCCUCUUGGCAUUCAUUUGCUGGUGGCGGGCUCAGAUAUUUUACCUUGAGAAAAUUAGAGUGUUUCAGGCAGGCUAG
rnacentral:rRNA from 1 species